GGGAGGUAGUGGACAAUAAAUAACAAUACGGGGCUCAUUUGGGUCUCGUAAUUGGAAUGAGUACAAUUUAAAUCUCCUAACGAGGAACAAUUGGAGGGCAAGUCUGGUGCCAGCAGCCGCGGUAAUUCCAGCUCCAAUAGCGUAUAUUAAAGUUGUUGCAGUUAAAAAGCUCGUAGUUGAACUUCGGGGUCUACCCAUUGGUCAGGCUUAAUUGUCUGUACUGGUGAGAUGGAUCUCUACCUUCUGAGGAACUUUCAUGCCAUUUAUUUGGUGUGGUUGGAAAUCAGGACUGUUACUUUGAAAAAAUUAGAGUGUUUAAAGCAGACUAUCGUCUGAAUACAUUAGCAUGGAAUAAUGAAAUAGGACGGACUGAUUCUAUUUCGUUGGUUUCUAGGAUCACCGUAAUGAUUAAUAGGGAUAGUUGGG
rnacentral:rRNA from 1 species